rnacentral:rRNA from 1 species
GAUGAACGCUGGCGGCGUGCCUAAUACAUGCAAGUCGAGCGGACAGACGAGGAGCUUGCUCCUCUGACGUUAGCGGCGGACGGGUGAGUAACACGUGGAUAACCUACCUAUAAGACUGGGAUAACUUCGGGAAACCGGAGCUAAUACCGGAUAAUAUAUUGAACCGCAUGGUUCAAUAGCGAAAGACGGUUUUGCUGUCACUUAUAGAUGGAUCCGCGCCGCAUUAGCUAGUUGGUAAGGUAACGGCUUACCAAGGCAACGAUGCGUAGCCGACCUGAGAGGGUGAUCGGCCACACUGGAACUGAGACACGGUCCAGACUCCUACGGGAGGCAGCAGUAGGGAAUCUUCCGCAAUGGGCGAAAGCCUGACGGAGCAACGCCGCGUGAGUGAUGAAGGUCUUCGGAUCGUAAAACUCUGUUAUUAGGGAAGAACAAAUGUGUAAGUAACUAUGCACGUCUUGACGGUACCUAAUCAGAAAGCCACGGCUAACUACGUG